CCUACGGGAGACAGCAGUGGGGGAUAUUGCACAAUGGGGGAAACCCUGAUGUAGCGACGCCGCGUGUGGGAAGACGGUCUUCUGGACUGUAAACCACUGUCCCCAGGGACGAAAUUGACGGUACCUGCCGAGGAAGCUCCGGCAAACUACGUCCCAGCAGCCACGGUAAUACGUAGGGAGCACCCGUUGACCGGAAUUACUGGGUGAAAGGGGAGCGUGGGCGGGGAUGCAAGUUGGGGGUAAAAACUACCGGCUCAACCGAUGAUCGCACUCAAAACUGCAGCUCUUGAGUGAAGGAGAGGCAGGCGGAAUUCCUAGUGUAGCGGUGAAAUGCGUAGAUAUUAGGAGGAACACCAGUGGCGAAGGCGGCCUGCUGGGCUUUUACUGACGCUGAGGCUCGAAGGUGUGGGGAGCAAACAGGAUUAGAUACCCCAGUAGUC
rnacentral:rRNA from 1 species